UUUUGUUUUAUAUUUCUUUCUAGUACAGAUUAAUUUUGAACCUAUGAAGAGUCUGCUUGUUUGAGAAAUUUUUCCACAUACAGUUUGAAAUUUCUCAUGUAUUUACUGAGCCCUUGAGGCUGGUAUUUUGAAUUCAGAUAUUUGAGUAAACUUUGAUGUAUAAUUGCAGCUAAGGAAAGAUAUUGGCUGACAGGAAUGUAAUAGUGAAGAUCUGAUUUAGCAAAUGCCAAAGGACAAAUUUAAAUUCAAUUUAAGCCAAUAAAUAAUAGAGUAGAACAUUUGGGCUUGUCUUAUUAAUGGGAGCUGCAAGGAGAGGUGGAGGCAUAAAUGCCAUUUGUUUAGGCUUGUGGUUAUCUUUCCAAGGGAGACAGGCUUUUCUUUAGGUCUUGUGAAAUAAGAUCAGCAACACCAGCUGACAUGCCUUGAUCCCUACGUGAGCCUUGAAGUAAUACAUGUACAGUAGACUGUCUUUCUUGGUCUUAGUGGACAGUACAGGCCACAGACUUGAAGCCAUUUAUCAAAAUUAGGGUCAAAGCAGCAGAAGGAACUUCCAUGUGUAUCAUAUAUUCUUCCUGUGAGGAUUAUUUAAAUCUGUUAUCUAUAAUGAGGCAAGACAGAGUCAUGCAAAAUUACAAUUAAAGAUUACUUUAAAGAGCAUGGCUUCUAGAAAAGCUGAGAAAAGGCAGUAAUUUAUUGCUAUCAAAGAUGAGUACCAUGAGUACCAUGUAGGUAACACACCUACAUGGCUUUUGGAACAACCAGCAUGAUCCCCAGCAGAAAGAAUAUUUUUUCAAUAAUAUAUAUGACUCCUAGAGGAAGUACAGGCAAUGAAAGGGUCAGAAGAUUCCAAACAUCAUUUAAGAUGAAAAAGUAAAAGUUGAUGCUUAUAUUGCCCAAAGACAAUUGGCAAAAAAAUUGAUUGAUCUGAAUUUUAAGAAUACUCUUCUGAAAGUUUAAAAAAAGAAUAAACCUUGAAGGGAACAAGUUUUCAGUCUCUAAUAUAGGGAUUAUUUACUUAUAAUUAAUGUCUAAAAGUGUCUAAAUUGUGUCUAAAAGAUCAUGAAAACUAAGGAGAGGUCAACCUUACUACCACUCCCAGGAAAGUCAUGGGAUAGAUCCUCCUGGGAGCCAUUUCCAGGUAUACAAAUAACAAGAAGGUGGGUAGGAAUAGCCAACAUGGAUUUACUGAGAGCACAGCACACCAGUCUAAUUACCUUCUGAAGAAAAUUCUGCUUCAAUGGACAAAGCAGGAGCAGUGGAAGCUGUAUACAUUAGCAAGGGCUUUGAAAGAGCUUCUAAUAGUCUGUCUCCUUUAACAAGGUUGGAGAAAUAUGAGCUCGAUAAUAUGAGUGGAUAAUAAGGUGGGUGGGAAAUUGGCUUCAUUGCUGGGCUCAGGGAGCAUUGGUCAGCACUCCAGAGUCCACCUGUCAGAGUGACACUCCUCAGGGAUCAAUAUGAGGGACAGGACUGUUUUGUGACUUUAUUAAUGACCUGGGGAUGAGGUGGAGUGCAAUCUGAGAUAUGUAGCGGUGCCACGCUGAUUGUGCUGCUCUGGCGGUGGGGCUGACCCGGGCUGGACAUCAGGUGCCCACCAAACUCCUCAGACAGGCAGGGCAGAGGAAACACAAGGAAAAGUUCAUGGGUCGAGGAUAAUGGGAGGAGUAUAUGAUGUUGUCGGAAGGUCUCUUGGACACAGCUGAUUUUCCUAAGCUAUCAGAGCUUCUCACAGCAGGUG